rnacentral:rRNA from 1 species
GUGAGGAAUAUUGCGCAAUGGAGGCAACUCUGACGCAGCCAUGCCGCGUGCAGGAAGAAGGCGCUACGCGUUGUAAACUGCUUUUAACCGGGAAGAAACCCCAGGACGUGUCCUGGGUUGACGGUACCGGAGGAAUAAGCACCGGCUAACUUCGUGCCAGCAGCCGCGGUAAUACGAAGGGUGCAAGCGUUAUCCGGAUUAAUUGGGUUUAAAGGGUGCGUAGGCGGAGCGUUAAGUCCGUGGUGAAAUCCUGCAGCUUAACUGUAGACUUGCCAUGGAUACUGGCGCUCUUGAGUGCGCUUGAAGUGGGCGGAAUGUGCCGUGUAGCGGUGAAAUGCUUAGAUAUGGCACAGAACACCAAUUGCGAAGGCAGCUCACUAAGGCGAUACUGACGCUGAGGCACGAAAGCGUGGGGAUCGAACAGGAUUAGAUACCCUGGUAGUCC